UACGUAGGCAGCAAGCGUUGUUCGGAGUUACUGGGCGUAAAGGGUGUGUAGGCGGUCCUCUAAAGUUUGGUGUGAAAUCUCCCGGCUCAACUGGGAGGGUGCGCCGAAAACUGGAGGGCUAGAGUCCGGAAGAGGCGAGUGGAAUUCCUGGUGUAGCGGUGGAAUGCGCAGAUAUCAGGAGGAACACCAACGGCGAAGGCAGCUCGCUGGGACGGUACUGACGCUAAGGCGCGAAAGCGUGGGGAGCGAACAGG
rnacentral:rRNA from 1 species